UACAGAGGUGGCAAGCGUUGUUCGGAAUUACUGGGCGUAAAGGGCGCGUAGGCGGUCUUUUAAGUCUUGUGUGAAAUCCCUCGGCUCAACUGAGGAACUGCACGGGAUACUGGAAGACUUGAGUUCGGGAGAGGGAAGCGGAAUUCCGGGUGUAGCGGUGAAAUGCGUAGAUAUCCGGAGGAACACCGGUGGCGAAGGCGGCUUCCUGGACCGAUUACUGACGCUGAGGAGCGAAAGCGUGGGGAGCGAACAGG
rnacentral:rRNA from 1 species